GAUGAACGCUAGCUACAGGCUUAACACAUGCAAGUCGAGGGGUAACGAGAGGAAAGCUUGCUUUCCUUGUCGACGACCGGCGCACGGGUGAGUAACGCGUAUCCAACCUGCCCCCAACUAGGGAAUAACCUUGCGAAAGUAAGACUAAUACCCUAUACUUUCCUCAGAUGUCAUCUGACGAAGAAUAAAGAUUUAUCGGUUGUGGAUGGGGAUGCGUCUGAUUAGCUUGUUGGCGGGGUAACGGCCCACCAAGGCAACGAUCAGUAGGGGUUCUGAGAGGAAGGUCCCCCACAUUGGAACUGAGACACGGUCCAAACUCCUACGGGAGGCAGCAGUGAGGAAUAUUGGUCAAUGGGCGGAAGCCUGAACCAGCCAAGUAGCGUGCAGGAUGACGGCCCUAUGGGUUGUAAACUGCUUUUAUACAGGAAUAAAGUUAGCCACGUGUGGUUAUUUGUAGGUACUGUAUGAAUAAGGACCGGCUAAUUCCGUGCCAGCAGCCGCGGUAA
rnacentral:rRNA from 1 species